GGGGGUGACUUGGCUUCGACGCUGAUUGCGAACCCUUUGGUGCAUGUCGUGAGUGUAGUGAAUCACGUAAAUCAAUUACUACACAGUUAUAGUUGCAAACGACGAUAACUACGCUCUAGCAGCAUAAGUCUGCUUGCGCUGCUCCUAUAGGUGUCUAUAACUAAAGGAUUUUGCAGUGUCAUUCGAGAUAGAAUCGCCCGGAAGCUUUGUCUCAAGCUGAACGGUUAAAACCUAAAGAGGCUCGCCCUAAACGCCCUGACCUUCGGGCCGUGCUGGGUUAAUUGAAUAGAAGUGUCUAAACAUGUAGAUCUAGAGGCAGAGGAUUGGCGGACGCGGGUUCGAAACCCGCCACCUCCACCA
rnacentral:tmRNA from 2 species